GAACGGAUUGGACGUCACCACUUGCCUUAUUGAAAUCUCAAUUCCACAAACAACUAAUCUAAGAACUCAAUUGAUUUAAUUUGAAAGUCACAGAAAACAUACCAAAAGACGACACUUACGUCAAACUCCUAUUAGACGAAAAUGUGAGGCAAUGACAUGUGAAAUCGGAAAGAACAAACUACAAUGAUUCCCAACAACAAAACCACCAAGAAAACGAAAGGGAGGAGGAGAAGAUAAAAAGAAAUAUAAACGUGCUAGAGAAGGAGAAAAGAACGUGUUUAAAAUUUUUUUUUAAUUCACUAACUAAAAUAAGAUAAAUAAAUACAUAAAAUAAAAACAAAAAAAACACAAAUAACUAAAAUAAAAUAAAUCCCAUAAACACACACAAAGAUUCGAACCCAGAGGUAAAUUAACACACAACAAACUACCAG
rnacentral:lncRNA from 1 species